GGGCCCGCACAAGCGGUGGAGCAUGUGGUUUAAUUCGAUGAUACGCGAGGAACCUUACCAGGGCUUAAAUGUAGUUUGACCGGUCUGGAAACAGGCCUUCUCUUCGGAGCAGAUUACAAGGUGCUGCAUGGUUGUCGUCAGCUCGUGCCGUGAGGUGUUAGGUUAAGUCCUGCAACGAGCGCAACCCCUAUUCUUAGUUGCCAGCGGUUCGGCCGGGGACUCUAAGAAGACUGCCAGCGCAAGCUGAGAGGAAGGUGGGGAUGACGUCAAAUCAUCACGGCCCUUACGUCCUGGGCUACACACGUGCUACAAUGGUAGAGACAGAGGGCAGCCACCUGGUGACAGGGAGCGAAUCCUUAAACUCUAUCUCAGUUCGGAUCGAAGUCUGCAACUCGACUCCGUGAAGUUGGAAUCGCUAGUAA
rnacentral:rRNA from 1 species